rnacentral:lncRNA from 1 species
AUCACCUAUUAGCAAUGGUCUGAUAAUGCUGUGAGCGUUAACAUUGAACCUUUCUGUCCAGUUUAGUCCAGCAAUUACUCUUUUUUUGUAUUUGGAAUCUAAGCAGAUACAAAAUGCUUCAAUUGAGUGUCAUUUUCUGCUUUUUGAAGAACUUUAACAACCUUUUGUCCUUUCUUUCAGUGUUGUUUGAGUGCCUUGUUUCUGAUCUCACUUUUAACAGUAAAAAAUAGAACAGAAAGACUUUAUUAAUAACCUAUGGAAGUACCUAGAUGUGAUUCAUUGAAGUCAGAUGUUUUUGUGUAGGUGCUGUGCUGCUUUUCAGCAUGGCCAGCAGGUGGAGAAAGUGAAAAAGAAAGCUAUACUCAGACAGCUCCUGCAGCAACUGCAAAUGCCCGGGCUCGAAAGAGUUGGGAUUACUUCUUCCAGUGAUUGGGAGAGUAAUUGUGUUGUCAGGUGAUUUAAGUAACAGAUUAUUUCAUCGUUUAUCCAAGGUCUUGCAGUGGAUGAAUAAAGAAGGUCCAACUCUUCUCCACUGUCUCUACCUAGAGAUCUACCGUCCCAGAACAGACAAGGCAAGGAUAACCCUCACACCCCAAACAGCAGGGACAUCUCUGCGGGAAGGUGACCUGAAGGCAAAGAGUGAACUGGUAACAGGCUACAGAGGUAUUGUCACCUGGUGCCACUCUACUGCAACUGGAGACCCACACCUGGAUCCAUCCCUUCAGUUCUGAGAAUCUUCCCCAGUAAAACUAAAGCAGGAUGCUGAGUGUGG